ACUGUCCAUAUUGUCACCUGAUGUAUUUCCAAGGACUGCUAGAGAACGUUUUGAACUAAACGACAGUCUAAAAGAGGCAGAACUCUCCAUGCUGUCACCCGAGGUGUACCCAAGGACUCCUACAGAUCGUUACUAGAAAACCUGCUUACCAAGGACUGGAAAGAGUGCUUGUGUAACAGAAUGCCAGAAUGUCCUUACUCUCUUAGGCCCGAAACACACCGAAACUGUGUCUGGUUCUGGGUCUGACGAUUUUGGCAAAUACGUAAUGUCUUAUGUAGUUUGACGUUUGCGUCUGUAACUGUAACGUGUUAUCAAUAUUUAUUAUACUAGUAUAACAUUUAGUGAAAUAUCUUAAAAUAUCAGUAAAAUAAAAGUGUUAUCAGUCACUCAGUGACGAUAACACAUUUUAGUGUGAACAUUUCACUGUAGAAACUGUAGAAAGUGUUAUCUUCACUGUAAGAAAGCCGGAACUAUUUUGCUGCAGACACUUUAAAAAUAAAGGUAAAUUGCCAUAAGUUAUAUAUUAAAUAGAAAAUUUCACGAUUUUUGUCAAAUAUGAUUUAUAUCUCAUCUCGUGAAGUGCGCAAUCAUAUCAGACUCAUUGUGCAAGCGCGACUCGUGAGAUAUGAUUACAAACUUAACUCGAGAUAUAAAUCACAUUUGACAAACACAUAAAAUACCCUCUAUAUAUUAAUGCGUUCAUAUAUUUAGAUAAAUUUACUUCUAUAAAGAUCAACAAUAAGUAUCAGAAAUCCACGUUAAUUAAUGUAUACCUUUCAUGUUGGUUAUUAAACAAAAUGAGUGAGUAAGGUUCGAACAUUGUGCAGCUGCCAGUCUGGCAAUGUGAAUUAUAGCGCAGGUUCUAUGUCGAACUGUUGCCAGAUUUGUAGUUCGCGCCAGUUUAUCACAUUCGAUUCAGUGAUUUUCAUUGUCGACUGGUACCAUACUCGCCAGAGUAUACUCGAUCGCCAGAUAUACCAUACCCAGACCAAGACCCGGAUUCUGUGUUUUGGGCCUUAGGAAAGAAGAACUGUGAACUAUGGUUCGAGAUCUAAUAUUCGUGGGUGUUAUAUAUUCGUGGGUGUUAUAUAUUCGUGGUGUAUAUUCGUGGGUGCUAUAGCCAAAAGGAAUUUAAGUAUUGUCCAAUUUGUUAGCAACAGUUUAUCUGGGAAAUGCCUCUUGUCGUCCAGUACAAAACGUUUAAACAUUAGGCCUACUAUUCUUGAGUUAAUUAUGGAAAGAUUAUGUGUAGUUUUAUUUGUAGUUAUUUAUUACAAAUAAAUGUGAAUAUAACUAGGUAUUGUAGUUUCAACUUUGACAUAGGACCUUUAAACUUAUUACAGUUUUUUUAUUAUUAUGUUUUGUCAGGGUGAGUAGGAACAAUCACUUGCACGUUUAGCCCCAGGAAUAUUCAACACCAGCUUGUACAUGUAUCAAAUUAAUUAAUAUGGGGAACAAAGGGCCGAACAUGUACCUGCAGACUAUACAUGAUUUGGCAACAUGAGAUGCUCCACACACACGCACGCACACACGCAUAUAUAUACACAUAUACUAGUAUAUACAUAUAUAUACAUAUGUGUAUGUGUAUGUGUAUGUGUAUAUGUAUAUGUAUAUGUAUA